rnacentral:rRNA from 1 species
GACGUGACUUCAGAGUUUGAUCCUGGCUCAGGACGAACGCUGGCGGCGUGCUUAACACAUGCAAGUCGAACGAGAAUCAAUGGAAAGAGACUUCGGUCAAUGGAAGUUGAGGACAGUGGCGGACGGGUGAGUAACGCGUGAGGAACCUGCCUUUCAGAGGGGGACAACAGUUGGAAACGACUGCUAAUACCGCAUAACGCAUAGGUGUCGCAUGGCACAUAUGCCAAAGAUUUAUCGCUGAAAGAUGGCCUCGCGUCUGAUUAGCUAGUUGGUGAGGUAACGGCUCACCAAGGCGACGAUCAGUAGCCGGACUGAGAGGUUGGCCGGCCACAUUGGGACUGAGAUACGGCCCAG